AUUGAACGCUGGCGGCAGGCCUAACACAUGCAAGUCGAACGAGUGGCGGACGGGUGAGUCAUGUCUGGGAAACUGCCUGAUGGAGGGGGAUAACUACUGGAAACGGUAGCUAAUACCGCAUACCUUCGGUUUUGCCCAGAUGGGAUUUGCUAGUAGUGGGUGUAAAGGCUCACCUAGGCGACGGUCCCUAUCCGGUCUGAGAGGAUGACGAGCCACACGGGAACUGAGACACGGUCCAGACGCCUACGGGAGGCAGCAGUGGGGAAUAUUGCACAAUGGGCGCAAGCCGGAGGAAGAAAUGCCGCGUGUAUGAAGAAGGCCUUCGGGUUGUAAAGUACGUUCAGCGGGGAGGCGUUACCCGAAGAAGAAGCACCGGCUAACUCCGUGCCAGCAGCCGCGGUAAUUC
rnacentral:rRNA from 1 species